AUGGUCGGAAUACGACGCUAAAAGAUUUUACCGACAGAAAAAUUUUAGAUAUAUUUAUACCGGAAGUUGACUUGUUUGUCAAAACUUGUAACGAGAAGGCUCCUAAUAAACAAUGCUGGUUGGGAGAAACGUCAUCGUGUGCUCACGGAGGGGCUCCACAUAUAUCAGAUAGAUAUGUCGCUGGAUUCUUGUGGUUAGAUAAGCUUGGAUUAUCAGCUUUACGUGGAUUACAGGGUGUUUUACGACAAGAGUUUUAUGGCGGUAAUUAUGCCUUAAUAGACACAAACCUCAAUCCUAAUCCCGACUACUGGUUAACAUUGAUAUAUAAAAGACUGGUUGGUAGUCCCGUUUUCGAUGUAACUCAAACUACAGACCCUAAUGUUCGAGUCUACGCCCAUUGUACA